rnacentral:rRNA from 1 species
UCCUACGGGAGGCAGCAGUAGGGAAUCUUCCGCAAUGGACGAAAGUCUGACGGAGCAACGCCGCGUGAGUGAUGAAGGUUUUCGGAUCGUAAAACUCUGUUGUUAGGGAAGAACAAGUACCGGAGUAACUGCCGGUACCUUGACGGUACCUAACCAGAAAGCCACGGCUAACUACGUGCCAGCAGCCGCGGUAAUACGUAGGUGGCAAGCGUUGUCCGGAAUUAUUGGGCGUAAAGCGCGCGCAGGCGGUUCCUUAAGUCUGAUGUGAAAGCCCCCGGCUCAACCGGGGAGGGUCAUUGGAAACUGGGGAACUUGAGUGCAGAAGAGAAGAGUGGAAUUCCACGUGUAGCGGUGAAAUGCGUAGAGAUGUGGAGGAACACCAGUGGCGAAGGCGACUCUUUGGUCUGUAACUGACGCUGAGGCGCGAAGCGUGGGGAGCAACAGGAUUAGAUACCCUGGUAGUCCACGCCGUAACGAUGAGUGCUAAGUGUUAGAGGGUUUCCGCCCUUAGUGCUGCAGCAACGCAUUAAGCACUCCGCUGGGGAGUACGGCCGCAAGGCUGAAACUCAAAGGAAUUGACGGGGGCCCGCACAAGCGGUGGAGCAUGUGGUUUAAUUCGAAGCAACGCGAAGAACCUUACCAGGUCUUGACAUCUCCUGACAACCCUAGAGAUAGGGCGUUCCCCUUCGGGGGACAGGAUGACAGGUGGUGCAUGGUUGUCGUCAGCUCGUGUCGUGAGAUGUUGGGUUAAGUCCCGCAACGAGCGCAACCCUUGAUCUUAGUUGCCAGCAUUCAGUUGGGCACUCUAAGGUGACUGCCGGUGACAAACCGGAGGAAGGUGGGGAUGACGUCAAAUCAUCAUGCCCCUUAUGACCUGGGCUACACACGUGCUACAAUGGAUGGUACAAAGGGCUGCGAGACCGCGAGGUUAAGCGAAUCCCAUAAAACCAUUCUCAGUUCGGAUUGCAGGCUGCAACUCGCCUGCAUGAAGCCGGAAUCGCUAGUAAUCGCGGAUCAGCAUGCCGCGGUGAAUACGUUCCCGGGCCUUGUACACACCGCC